rnacentral:rRNA from 1 species
AUUGAACGCUGGCGGCAGGCCUAACACAUGCAAGUCGAGCGAGCGUCGGACGGGUGUGUAAUGUAUGGGGACUGCCCGCUAGAGGGGGGUAACUACUGGAAACGGUAGCUAAUACCGCAUAGUAUCGGAUAACCCAUAUGGGAUUAGCGAGUAGGUGAGGUAAUGGCUCACCUAGGCGACGAGCCCUACCUGGUCGGCGAGGAUGAUCAGCCACACUGGGACUGAGCCGCGGCCCAGACUCCUACGGAGGCAGAAGUGGGGAAUAGUGCACAAUGGGCGCAAGCCUGAUGCAGCCAGGCCGCGUGUAGGAAGAAGGCCCUAGGGUUGUAAAGUACUUUCAGUCGGGAGGCGUUACCGACAGAAGAAGCACCGGCUAACUCCGGGCCAGCAGCCGCGGUAAUAC